CGUCCCCGCCGUCUCUGCCGCUCCCUCUCUCUGCCCCUCGCCCGUGACAGCGAGGCUGGGCAGGAGCUUCGACCCUUCUGGGGGCUGCCCCCUUUUCUUGUUGCGGCAGAGUCCCUUUCGGGGGGGAUGUACAUGUGGAAAGGGAUGGAAGCAAGUGCUGGGCUGCUGUCCAGGGCAGUUAAGACUCGUUCUGUGCCUUCUUUGGGGGCCAGGAAAAAGGGGUGAAGACUCGGGGCUCUGGUGUCAUUUGGGGCACCCUAAGGUCCCUAGGAGAGGGAGGCACGCUGCGGCGGAGGAGCAGGUGGGUGGCGAAUGAGGGGGGUCAUGCCGGGUGCCGUCCCCCCGAGGGGGGUGUGUAGAAUACUACAUCCUGUCAAGUGCUUCGUUUUUAUAGGUAUUGGUAAAAAUAGGAAUUUGUCUCUAAAUUCAUUUGGAAAGAAAGCCAGAGCAGCCCCAGGUGUGAACUGUGAGGAUAAGGAGGGGCCGGCUCCUGCCGGCGGCUGUUUUAGGGGCUUUGCCUCAGCUGAUUUUACAGGGAGCUGCUGGAGAAGAGGAGUUUAUGGGCGGCUCCUGGGGCUGUCCUUGGAAGGACGGUGACAGCUUCGGACAGGGUCUGGGGGAUCACCUGGAUACGCACUUGGAUACCUGGAGCAUUGCUCAGAGGAGGUGCCGAGGGACAAACCUUUGUGCCAGGUAGCGGCAGCCAAACAGGGGCUGAAACUGAAGGGGAGAACACAUUUAUUUGCCCUUGUUGAAGUGAGGCGAGCACCUGAGUGUGGCGGAAAUGCAGGAGAACGCGAAAGCAUCGGGGCAGAGCAGCCGCUGGAGGUGCCCGAGCCGUCUCCCCCUUGCCCGCAGGGCCGGAGUUGCCCACCGCCGGCAGCUGACAGCUACGCUGACAGCACGGGCGGCUCCGGCACACGCUUUGCCUCGCUGUGUUCCGGUGCCGUGCUGCUGCGGGAGGACGGGGCCAGCGCUCCAAAGGCCAGAGCAGAGCGCUGGCGAAUGGGAGGCGAGGAAGGCUUGGGCUAAGGAUGGAUUGAAACCGGGCUGCCUGUCCGUGCUGGAGAGUGGGAGAAGGGUCCCUGCUGGCUGCCGUGUCCUGGGUGGGCACAGAGCUCUGACCUUGGCCAGAUGGGCUGUUCGGUUUCUUUCUCACAGGUUUCCGGGUGUUUUGAUCCUGACGUCGCCAAAGCCUCAGGUUUGCUGAAUUGGGGCUCCUACCUGUGUGACCCGUGAAAUGUCCCGGAAGCUGAUCGAUGUCUUCCUGCUCCCGCUGUGUUCAUUUGGGCUGUGCUUCAGGCUUCUCUCCCUGGGCCCUUGCCGUUGCCGUAUCUCUUGGAUGCCGUGCAGAACGGAAUCAGGCAGCCAAGCCUCAGGUUCACCUUCUCCCUCACCCUCUGCGCUGCUCGUGUGGCACAGCAGAUCCUGAAGCCAGAGGAGCACGUGUACAUAAGGGUAAAGAGAUUCCUUCUGUCACACCGGUAUUUGGACCUGAGGAAGGUACCAGGUUUUCUCCAGCUUUUCUACAGUUUUGAUUUUGAGUACAAAACAGCACGAGUGGAUCCUCAGAUUUCUUGGGGAAGGGCUGCGUGACAAACAUUGCUGUGAGCUCUAUGUCUACCAGAGGAUUUUCCGGGUCAUUCUUUCCUUUCUCAGCAGUCCUUUGUGUGACCAGGGCUCCCAGAGUCCUAUUCUGGAGAUACGACAGAGUGCUGCUGCCCGUGUCACCUCUAGAGCUGCCCAUGAGCCGAUAGAGGAUCACAGCCUCCUCUCGUGGGUCCUGCACGGCUUAGAGAAAAGGUAACCAGCCAAGUACGGGAGACAUGGGGACAAUUUCCUGUCCACGGCUGAAGAAUGACGUGGCUGAGGAUGAAAGCAAGGGGGACAGACCUGGAGACGGGGGCACCGAGGGCUGCACUGGCAGAACUUGCUGAACGCUGAGGUGUCCCUUGUGUUUUUGAGAAGAGAAUCAAGAGGCUUCCAGGUGGUGGUGGGAGGGACGAUGGUGGGGGGGCUGUGUGAUUUGGGAAUCACUUCCUUGACAAAGCAAAAGGACACCUUGUGCUGGUGUCUUUAGCUUUGAAAUUUCAAGCAGCCUCAGUUCCCAUCCUGUCACAGGACCUGCUGCACAGGAAGUGGCACAGUAAUGGAUUUGAGCUGUCUAGAACGUUACUUCUCCUCCCCUUGCCUCUCCCUGACAAAAAAAAUCUCUUCUGCAAGCACAGAGUGCCCUGACAGGUUCAGGCAAGUGCACCAAAAGUGCCCUAGAAUAUGGUCCCCCGUAGGAGAUGGACCAGCUGCUGGUGAGGAUCUGCCUUUCAAAUGUGGUUUUCUUUUCUUUUUUUUCUUUUUGUUCUGUUUCAUUUUGUUUUUCAGGUUUCUGGAGAACCAGGUGAUAAAUAAAAUGAUUUCCUUACUCCAUCCUUUGUGGCUAAUAAAUUUAGGAGACAAGAGAGAAAACAGGAAUCGAUCCCAGAUGCUGCUGUUGAGAUGGGUAUAUGAUCUACCUGUAUAUAGAUAUAUGCGUAUCUAUCUAUAUCUGUGUAGUGAUAAUAAUGGGAGUUUUUAUGAUACGUUGCUUUACUGUCUUAUAUUUUUAAUAAAGUGCGAUUUUAAGUUAUUAGGUAUAACAUUUUAUUCUGCUUAUUGGCUAAAGUAACAUUUUCUUGUAUUUUAUUGGUAUCAAGUCAUGUUAAUCAUUAAUUGGUAAGAGUUUAUAAUGAAUUAUUAAGGUGUGAAUAUUGUUCAUUAAGGUACGUCUUUUUUUUACUGUAGGUAUUUUCAUGUGUUCGUAUGGGUUUUUAUGUUAAUGAUUUGGGGUUUUUGUGUUAUGAAUAUAUUAGUAUUUUAUUAGGGGUUUUUUUGGUUAGUUUACUUGUUUGGUGUGGUGAUCACUCCUGUUAAGUAUGUUUAUCUAUAUAUGUUUUAAAAUGUAAGUUAUAAAUCUACUUGUUAAGGAUUUUUGUAGAGUUCUAUGUAAAAAUUUAAAUCGGUAGGGGAGAUAAAAAGCAGUAAUUAUUAAUAAGAUGAGUAUUUUAGUUUUUAAUAAUGAUUUAAGUUAUUCAGCGAUGUUUUAAUUUUUGAAAAUAUUAUUUAGUUAUUUUUUAUGUGUGAUUGAUUAAUUUUUUAAAAAAAAAUUAGUAAUGUUUUUGUAAAUUGAUUUCUUGUGAUUUCAUCAAUUUAUAUAUUUUUAAAAAUGUUUUCUAUUUAUGAUUGUGUGUGAAUAAUAAAAAAUGAACAGUU